rnacentral:rRNA from 1 species
CAAGCGUUAUCCGGAUUCACUGGGGUUAAAGGGUGCGUAGGUGGGCAAGUAAGUCAGUGGUGAAAUCUCCGGGCUUAACCCGGAAACUGCCAUUGGUACUAUUUGUCUUGAAUACUGUGGAGGUCAGCGGAAUAUGUCAUGUAGCGGUGAAAUGCUUAGAUAUGACAUAGAACACCAAUUGCGAAGGCAGCUGGCUACACAAAUAUUGACACUGAGGCACGAAAGCGUGGGGAUCAAACAGG